CCCACGAGGAAGGAUAAAUGUCAAGUUUCCGCGGAUAAAUAUGGAAGUUUUGAAGAUAAUUGUGAAGAUCGGGAAAAAUGGAAUAUCUCCAUUUUUAUGCUAUGACGGCUUAAGGGCAGAAGAGUAAAAGCGUAAACCGACCUUGGAGCUAGUAUAUAAGGAGUCCUAGGCGAUGAGCAAAUGGGAGAACUUUUUCAGAGCAAACUUAGCACUUAGAGCAAUUUAGGCAAUUUUCCGUUUUUGUUAUUUCGAGCUGCGACUCAAUUAGGUUUAGC
rnacentral:lncRNA from 1 species